UACGUAGGGUGCGAGCGUUAAUCGGAAUUACUGGGCGUAAAGCGUGCGCAGGCGGUCUGUUAAGACCGAUGUGAAAUCCCCGGGCUUAACCUGGGAACUGCAUUGGUGACUGGCAGGCUUUGAGUGUGGCAGAGGGAGGUAGAAUUCCACGUGUAGCAGUGAAAUGCGUAGAGAUGUGGAGGAAUACCGAUGGCGAAGGCAGCCCCCUGGGUUAACACUGACGCUCAGGCACGAGAGCGUGGGGAGCAAACAGG
rnacentral:rRNA from 1 species